rnacentral:rRNA from 1 species
GCUUGCUUUUAAAAGGUUAGCGGCGGACGGGUGAGUAACACGUGGGCAACCUGCCUGUAAGAUCGGGAUAACGCCGGGAAACCGGGGCUAAUACCGGAUAGUUUUUUCCUCCGCAUGGAGGAAAAAGGAAAGACGGCUUCUGCUGUCACUUACAGAUGGGCCCGCGGCGCAUUAGCUAGUUGGUGGGGUAACGGCUCACCAAGGCAACGAUGCGUAGCCGACCUGAGAGGGUGAUCGGCCACAUUGGGACUGAGACACGGCCCAAACUCCUACGGGAGGCAGCAGUAGGGAAUCUUCCGCAAUGGACGAAAGUCUGACGGAGCAACGCCGCGUGAGUGAAGAAGGCCUUCGGGUCGUAAAACUCUGUUGCCGGGGAAGAACAAGUGCCGUUCGAACAGGGCGGCGCCUUGACGGUACCCGGCCAGAAAGCCACGGCUAACUACGUGCCAGCAGCCGCGGUAAUACGUAGGUGGCAAGCGUUGUCCGGAAUUAUUGGGCGUAAAGCGCGCGCAGGCGGCUUCUUAAGUCUGAUGUGAAAUCUUGCGGCUCAACCGCAAGCGGUCAUUGGAAACUGGGAGGCUUGAGUGCAGAAGAGGAGAGUGGAAUUCCACGUGUAGCGGUGAAAUGCGUAGAGAUGUGGAGGAACACCAGUGGCGAAGGCGGCUCUCUGGUCUGUAACUGACGCUGAGGCGCGAAAGCGUGGGGAGCAAACAGGAUUAGAUACCCUGGUAGUCCACGCCGUAAACGAUGAGUGCUAAGUGUUUAGAGGGUUUCCGCCCUUUAGUGCUGCAGCUAACGCAUUAAGCACUCCGCCUGGGGGAGUACGGCCGCAAGGCUGAAACUCAAAGGAAUUGACGGGGGCCCGCACAAGCGGUGGAGCAUGGUGGUUUAAUUCGAAGCAACGCGAAGAACCUUACCAGGUCUUGACAUCCUCUGACCUCCCUGGAGACAGGGCCUUCCCCUUCGGGGGACAGAGUGACAGGUGGUGCAUGGUUGUCGUCAGCUCGU